rnacentral:tRNA from 2 species
GGAGAGAUGCCUGAGAGGUUGAAAGGGGCGGUCUCGAAAACCGUUGUCCCGGGUGACUGGGACCGAGGGUUCGAAUCCCUCUCUCUCCG